ACGCCUAACACAUGCAAGUCGAACGCAGUAGCAAUACUGAGUGGCAAACGGGUGAGUAUAAUGUGGGAAUCUGCCUUUUGGUUCGGAAUAACACGAGGAAACUUGUGCUAAUACCGGAUAAGCCCUUACGGGGAAAGUUUUAAUGCCAAAAGAUGAGCCCGCACUUGAUUAGCUAGUUGGUAAGGUAAUGGCUUACCAAGGCAACGAUCAAUAGCUGUUCUUAGAGGAAGACCAGCCACAUUGGGACUGAGACACGGCCCAAACUCCUACGGGAGGCAGCAGUGGGGAAUCUUGCACAAUGGGGGAAACCCUGAUGCAGCGAUGCCGCGUGAGUGAAGAAGGCCCUUGGGUUGUAAAACUCUUUCGUCGGGGAAGAAAAUGACUGUACCCGAAUAAGAAGGUCCGGCUAACUUCGUGCCAGCAGCCGCGGUAAUACGAAGGGACCUAGCGUAGUUCGGAAUUACUGGGCUUAAAGAGUUCGUAGGUGGUUAAAAAAGUUGAUGGUGAAAUCCCAAGGCUCAACCUUGGAACUGCCAUCAAAACUUUUUAGCUAGAGUGUGAUAGAGGAAAGUGGAAUUUCUAGUGUAGAGGUGAAAUUCGUAGAUAUUAGAAAGAACAUCAAAAGCGAAGGCAACUUUCUGGAUCAUUACUGACACUGAGGAACGAAAGCAUGGGUAGCGAAGAGGAUUAGAUACCCUCGUAGUCCAUGCCGUAAACGAUGUGUGCUAGACGUUGGAAACUUAGUUUUCAGUGUCGCAGCGAAAGCAUUAAGCACACCGCCUGGGGAGUACGACCGCAAGGUUA
rnacentral:rRNA from 1 species